rnacentral:lncRNA from 1 species
UAAAGGAUGGCUUGAAAGAUUUCUAGUUGGUAAAGGUUUUGUGUCUUCGGCUCUACCAAGGUGUGUGUUAUAUACAACAAUGCGUUCCCCACGAUCGUAUAUAAUCUACAACUUGAUGAAAUCUGUAGUUAUACACACCACUAUAUCUUCCGUACGUGUGAUUUAUUGAAUCCCUUGGCAUUAAUUAACAUUGAUUUCGUCAUCAAAUUCUUGAUCCAGACACAAAAUAUGGUAGAUUGCCAUUGUAUGAGGAAUUAUGAAUAGCUUUCUUCUUUGUUCAUAAGUCUCUAUUUUGGCAUCCCAUAGAUUUCAGUCUCCCUAGUCUUUUUUUUUUCAUUGUACCUUGCAGACAAUUCAUGUAUUAUUGCACUGAUUAAUCACUUCCUACUCAGCAAUAAGUGUCUUCUGACUAAUACAGUGAAUUUUAUUGUAUUUCUAUGUGUUGUUUUACAUUUUUAAACUAAAGACAAUUGUAUUUUUAAAAAUUAUAAAUUUAUUUUUAAAAUAAAAAACGAAAGAUAUUUUUAAAUAAUAAUAAGGAAAUAGACAGAAAUAUUCAUGUUUAUUUGAAAUAUAUAUACGAUCAUAAUGGUUUCUUUAAAACAUCAAACUAACAUUAUCUGUAAAACUAAGAAAUAUCUCCACACAUCUCGUUCAUUUUAACACGACACAUUGCUACACCGGAGUAAAUAUUUAUAUUAGUAAUUGUAGAUGAACAAAACAAUAGGCUCGCACCGAAAUAUGUCUACGAACAUGUGUUAUACAUGAGUGAAAAUAUGAGAAAAUGAUGAAAUGAAUGAUAUUUUAUAAUGGAUGGUUGUCCAUUGUUUUUUUUUUUUUUUGUCACUGGUUGUCCAUUGUUUUUUUGAAAUGGUUGUCCAUUGUUUUGUUCAUCAAAGACAACUGAUAAUGAAGGCAACCCAUGUGCAUGUAUACUGUCAUCAUUGCCACCAUUCUAUGACCAUUUCAAAAACCUUAUAAUUUGUAUUCUUAAAAACAAUAUAUAGUUGCUCAAAAAACAAUAUAUAUAAAUCAUGUUAACUAUUUUUUCGAAAAAGAACUCUUACAAAAUAUAUAUAUAUAUAUGUAUAUAUAUAAGAAGAAAAAUAGUAUACAUGAUGUUAGCGAAUCAUUUUCUGAUUCAAAAAAGGUGAAUUCUUUGUAAGGAAAUAAUUUGAACCAUUGAGGUUCGCUAUUUCUUAUUUAUCUUUAGUUAAAUGGGAAGGGAUUAAGAUUUAGGAGUGUAAACCAUGUUUGUGUUUGAGAUUUCAUAGUUUAUUAUAGAUAUUGAGGGUGGGAUGUCUGUCUUCUCCCAUAAUUAUCUAAUCAUUUUCAUUAUAUUAGUUUUGUUUUUAGACAGCCUAAUUUCUUUCAAACAGCUAGGCCAUGUGAAUUGUUUUUUUCUUUUAUUUUUUUUCAGUGAAUUUACUUGUUUUGUUUAUUCUGUUUCUAAAACAAUAAGUAAACCCAUAGUUUUAAUAUAUCAACUCAGUUUUUUUCACGCCAACGGGUGUGGUCACCUUACUUUCAAUUAACAUAAGGGAUUAUUAUUCUUCAUUAGAAGGAUACGAAAGCUGAUUAUUAUUCUUGAAAGUUUUUCGUUUAUCUUUCUAGAGAGUUCAAGUAUAGUUACACAAUGUGCUGGACUCUAAAUAAUAUAUACUUGUAUAUAGAAAAUUCAUAUCGGUCAACAUUUGAGUUUUGGAGACAGAUAUUCUUGGUCUUGGUCAAAGUAUGGGUUUACCAAAAAUGUAUCCUUCAUCAAAAAGAUGCAUGUUCGAAGAUUUUGGAUUAUGUUUUAAUUUUUAUCCUUUGAUCAACCAAUAGGGUCUAAAACUUUAAAAUAAAAUAAAAAGAUCUAAGAAAACC